CCAAGGCAGCGAACAAAUGUUGAUGAAGAAACUAUAGAAGUGUCGAUUGAUGCAUAUAAGGAGUGGCUUGCAAUACUACAACAUGAUAAUCCAGAAACGGAUUUAAUGGAUGACUUCAGGGAGGAUACGAUCAAAACAUAUAAAGAAUGGUUAAGGCAUCAAGGCGAUCUUCCAGAUAUCUUAUUGUAUGAACGACAAAGCAAUGAUGACCUAAUAUUAUCAGAUGAAGAAAUUCAUGGCAGCAGCAAACCUACUGCUAAUUGGCCAUCUCAUGCU